CUCUUGUUAUAAUCCCAACCUUCAGAUAUUAUCACAUUCAAAACAUUAACUUUCACAAACAUGAAAAACAAGGAAAAAAAAACAGAGAACAGAAAUGUGGAGUCUCUUACCAAUCUACCCUCGGCAUCUACAACUGGAAGGCGUCGAAAUUUUGUUUCCAGCAACAAUCUGAAGAAAUAUAUUAGACGAAGGAUGCUGAUGGAAAUCAAUGUAGUGCCUUGAAAUUGGAAAUGUAUUUUGUACUAUUAAGUCAUUCAGGGGGACUGUUUUGUAUUCUACUAGAUAGAUUGUAUAUUCUGGAGUAUUUUGGUUUCUGUUAAAGAUUUGAGUACUUUGGAGUGCAUUGCAAGUUGGUUUGUAUUUUGGAGUGCUACUGCCUAUUUUGGAUUGUAUUAAGUUUUAUGGUUUAGAGGACUGACUAAAUUCUGGUUGGUAUUUUAGAUUGGCAUUGCAAAUCCCUGAUGUUGGUUUGUAUUGUCAGUUUAUAAAUGUAUUUUAAAUUAUAGACAAUAUUCUGGUU